rnacentral:rRNA from 1 species
AUUGAACGCUGGUGGCAGGCUUAACACAUGCAAGUCGAACGGUAACAGGAAUUAGCUUGCUAAUUUGCUGACGAGUGGCGGACGGGUGAGUAAUGCUUGUGAAUCUGGCUUAUGGAGGGGGAUAACUACGGGAAACUGUAGCUAAUACCGCGUAAAAUCUUCGGAUUAAAGGGUGGGACUUUCGAGCCACCUGCCAUAAGAUGAGCCCAAGUGGGAUUAGGUAGUUGGUUAGGUAAAGGCUGACCAAGCCGACGAUCUCUAGCUGGUCUGAGAGGAUGACCAGCCACACUGGAACUGAGACACGGUCCAGACUCCUACGGGAGGCAGCAGUGGGGAAUAUUGCACAAUGGGGGGAACCCUGAUGCAGCCAUGCCGCGUGAAUGAAGAAGGCCUUCGGGUUGUAAAGUUCUUUCGGUGACGAGGAAGGUUGAUAGGUUAAUAGCCUAUCAAAUUGACGUUAAUCACAGAAGAAGCACCGGCUAACUCCGUG